rnacentral:rRNA from 1 species
UACGAAGGGGCUAGCGUUGCUCGGAAUCACUGGGCGUAAAGGGUGCGUAGGCGGGUUUUAAGUCAGAGGUGAAAUCCUGGAGCUCAACUCCAGAACUGCCUUUGAUACUGAAAGUCUUGAGUAUGGGAGAGGUGAGUGGAACUGCGAGUGUAGAGGUGAAAUUCGUAGAUAUUCGCAAGAACACCAGUGGCGAAGGCGGACUCACUGGCCCGGUACUGACGCUGAGGUGCGAAA